CAAAUUAGAGCUUGUUAGAAAGUAUUUUAUUUACAUUAAAAAGUUAGUUGUGGGAAUCAAUUUAAUUUGA
rnacentral:tRNA from 1 species